ACGGGGGGGAUCGGGGGCAGUGACUGCAGGUAGAGGUGGCUGAAGGGGUGUGUACGGGGUACAGGUGUAAGGGGGUGACGGGGGAUCGGGGGCAGUGACUGCAGGUAGAGGUGGCUGAAGGGGUGUGUACAGGGUACAGGUGUAAGGGGGUGAAGGGAGGGAUCGGGGGGCAGUGACUGCAGGUAGAGGUGGCUGAAGGGGUGUGUACGGGGUACAGGUGUAAGGGGGUGAAGGGAGGGAUCGGGGGGCAGUGACUGCAGGUAGAGGUGGCUGAAGGGGUGUGUACGGGGUACAGGUAUAAGGGGGUGACGGGGGGAUCGGGGGGCAGUGACUGCAGGUAGAGGUGGCUGAAGGGGUGUGUACGGGGUACAGGUGUAAGGGGGUGAUGGGGGGAUCGGGGGGCAGUGACUGCAGGUAGAGGUGGCUGAAGGGGUGUGUACAGGGUACAGGUGUAAGGGGGUGACGGGGGGAUCGGGGGCAG